UGAAUUGUACAUACUUUGUAUUUACUAUAUAUGUUAUUGGUUUCCUAAUGCUUAGUAUAGUAGCCGUGGAUCACAUGAUAAUCACGUGAUCUCGAAUAUUUUGUAUACGCUAUAUUAGUGUCAUUUUUACGAGUUAGUUUUAUUAACAUUUCUAAUAUAAUUCAGAUCAUCAUUGAUAUGUACUAAAAUUAAGGAAAAUGUAAAACAUUAAUUUCCGGAACCUUCCGAUCUAUUUUUGACCAAUCGGUUUGGAGCGGUCAGUUUAAAUACAAGGCCUUUGUUACUGGUCAGUACAAUAUCAGACAGCUGACAAUCAACAGGUGGAUCAAGUUUUCAAGUUUCUCCAGUAAUCUAUUCCGGAUCAAAAUAUAUAUAAUUGUUGUUGAAAUCAAUUCACAACAAGAAAAUGUAACGGUGAACUCCCAUCUUUACCUUACUUAGGACAAAUGCCAGAAAACACGUGAUGGACAAUAAAUAACAUGGAAUGAAAA